rnacentral:rRNA from 1 species
AUAGCAUAUCAGAAGGCACACCCGGAGAACUGAAACAUCUUAGUACCCGGAGGAAGAGAAAGAAAAUUCGAUUCCCUUAGUAGCGGCGAGCGAAACGGGAAGAGCCCAAACCAACAAGCUUGCUUGUUGGGGUUGUAGGACACUCUAUACGGAGUUACAAAGGACGACAUUAGACGAAUCAUCUGGAAAGAUGAAUCAAAGAAGGUAAUAAUCCUGUAGUCGAAAAUGUUGUCUCUCUUGAG